rnacentral:rRNA from 1 species
CUGGCGGCGUGCUUACACAUGCAAGUCGAACGCGAAAGUUUUCUUCGGAAGACGAGUAGAGUGGCGCACGGGUGAGUAACGCGUAAGUAAUCUGCCCUGGUAUUUGGGAUAACCCACCGAAAGGUGUGCUAAUACCGGAUACGCUGAUUUAUCAGGAAAGGUGGCCUCUUCAUGAAAGCUACUGUACCAGGAGGAGCUUGCGUACCAUUAGCUAGUUGGUAGGGUAAUGGCCUACCAAGGCAACGAUGGUUAGCGGGUCUGAGAGGAUGAUCCGCCACACUGGAACUGAAACACGGACCAGACUCCUACGGGAGGCAGCAGUGAGGAAUAUUGCGCAAUGGGGGAAACCCUGACGCAGCGACGCCGCGUGGAUGAUGAAGGCCUUAGGGUCGUAAAAUCCUGUCAGAUGGAAAGAAAUGUACAUGUGCUAAUAUCACUUGUAUUUGACGGUACCAUCAAAGGAAGCACCGGCUAACUCCGUGCCAGCAGCCGCGGUAAUACGGAGGGUGCAAGCGUUGUUCGGAAUUACUGGGCGUAAAGCGCGCGUAGGCGGUUUGUUAAGUCAGAUGUGAAAGUCCACGGCUCAACCGUGGAAGUGCAUUUGAAACUGGCAGACUUGAGUACUGGAGGGGGUG